UUAGGAAUUUUGCGCAAUGGGGGAAACCCUGACGCAGCAACGCCGCGUGGGUGAUGAAGGCCUUCGGGUUGUAAAACCCUUUUAGUGGGGACGAAAAAAAUGACGGUACCCGCAGAAAAAGCACCGGCUAACUCUGUGCCAGCAGCCGCGGUAAUACAGAGGGUGCAAGCGUUAUUCGGAAUUACUGGGCGUAAAGCGCAUGUAGGCGGUUCGGUAAGUUUGGUGUGAAAUCCCCCGACUCAAUCGGGGAAGUGCAUUGAAUACUGCCAGACUAGAGUACAGGAGGGGAGAACGGAAUUCCUGGUGUAGAGGUGAAAUUCGUAGAUAUCAGGAGGAACAACGGUGGCGAAGGCGGUUCUCUGGACUGUAACUGACGCUGAGGUGCGAAAGCGUGGGGAGCAAACAGG
rnacentral:rRNA from 1 species